UGAUCUAGUGGUUAAGAGCUAUGGCUGCUAACCAUAAGGUUGGCGGUUUGAAUCCACC
rnacentral:tRNA from 1 species